rnacentral:rRNA from 1 species
UGUUCGUUAUUUAGGGCGCAUGGUGGAUGCCUUGGCAUGCUGAGCCGAUGAAGGACGUGAAAGGCUGCGUUAAGCCUCGGGGAGUUGUCAAUUGAGCGUUGAUCCGAGGAUGUCCGAAUGGGGAAACCUGGCACCUGUUAUGGGGUGUUACCCUUCAGUGAAUUCAUAGCUGUUGUGGGGGCAACGCGGGGAAGUGAAACAUCUCAGUACCCGUAGGAGAAGAAAAUAAUAAUGAUUCUGCUAGUAGUGGCGAACGAACGUGGAUGAGGCUAAACCGUGUGCAUGUGAUACCUGGUAG